GACGGAGGAGGCAAGCGUUAUCCGGCAUUAUUGGGCGUAAAGGGUACGUAGGCGGCUGGCCAAGUCUGGGGUCAAAGGCCACAGCUCAACUGUGGGAAGGCCCUGGAAACUGACCGGCUAGAGUGAGGUAGGGGUUGCGGGAAUUCCCGGUGUAGCGGUGAAAUGCGUAGAGAUCGGGAAGAACACCUGAGGCGGAAGCGCGCAACUGGGCCUCAACUGACGCUGAGGUACGAAAGCUAGGGGAGCGAAGGGG
rnacentral:rRNA from 1 species